rnacentral:tRNA from 1 species
AAAGGAUUAGUUAAAAUAUAACAAAAGGAUGUCAACCUUUAAUUACUAGGAAUAGUACUCUUUA